CGGAGGUGGCAAGCGUUGUUCGGAAUUACUGGGCGUAAAGGGCGCGUAGGCGGCAAGGCAAGUCAGGUGUGAAAGCCCCGGGCUUAACUCGGGAAUUGCAUCUGAAACUGCUGUGCUUGAGUUCUGGAGGGGGUAGUGGAAUUCCUAGUGUAGCGGUGAAAUGCGUAGAUAUUGGGAGGAACACCUGUGGCGAAGGCGGCUAUCUGGAUAGAAACUGACGCUGAGGCGCGAAAGUUAGGGGAGCGAACGGGAUUAGAUACCCCGGUAGUCCUAGCUGUAAACGAUGGGCACUUGGUGUUGGGGGUAUUGAGUCCCCCAGUGCCGGAGUUAACACGUUAAGUGCCUCGUCUGGGGAGUAUGGUUGCAAGAUUG
rnacentral:rRNA from 1 species